ensembl:lncRNA
CUAGAACGUCUUAAACGAUGGCUAGAGAUCAUUUUCACUUAGCUUUCUUACUAGCUGUUAUUUUCAUACAUCAGUUAGUUUUAAGGCUGAGAAAAGACAACAAAUUGCUAAUAUAUCACGUUAUCAAAAGGGAAAGAGAUUUCUGUAAUAUAUAGCUAGACGGGGUACUCGGUUAGCGUUAGUUAGCUGGUUAGCAAGCAGAGUUUAAGCUAGUUAUCAGUCACAAGUAAACCAAAAGACACUGGUCAAAAGAGAUGGAGACGACCCGUUAUACUGUCACAUCCCACAAUGCCGUGCAAGAUGAGUGAUAUGAUAUGACGGGAGCCUGGAGCUUGUCCCAGGGAACUCGGGGCACAAGAUGGAGGACAAACUGGACGGGCACAAUCACACACAUAGUCACACACCCAUUCGCACACUACGGACAAUAUCGGAAAUGCCUAUCAGCCUACAACGCAUGACUUUGAACUAGGGGAGGAAACCGGAGUACCGGAGGAAACCCUCGAAAGCAGGAUUCGAUUCCCCAACCCCGAAAGUCCGAGGCAACGUGCUAAAAUAAUGAUUGACUGCAUGGCCCAGACCUCUGUUACCACUAAGCUGAUCAUUUUCCAAUAUCAGUACAUCCUGAAAUGUUUUGUUCCAUGCAUAGUACAACAAUUCACCACCAAUUUUUACAGUGAAAAUCUAGCUUCAUUUCCUGUUGUGGAACUUCCACAAAACAGGUUGGUUCCUGUUAUCCUGUUAACCGUUCCUAUUUUUCUUUCUCAUCUUACAGAGAAACCGCAAAGUGUCGGAAAAUUUAAAGCUAAAGCUUUACCUCUGACUUUUAUUACUGGAGACUCCUUCCAAAAAAAAAAAAAUGGUGAAUAAACAUUUCCUCACAGAAAACUUCACCAUAUCGACAAUUACACAAGGGUUUUCUGAAAGAGCUUCCGCAGAGUUAGGCAAAGAAAAACAAAGGUUGUCCACUUUAGAAAACAGUGAGUCAUUUGGGAGUCUAAAGAGUCGACUCAUGUUGAACUGACUCACCGAAAUGAG